GACGGGGGACGCAAGUGUUAUCCGGAAUCACUGGGCGUAAAGCGUCUGUAGGUGGUUUAAAAAGUCUACUGUUAAAGCUUGAAGCUUAACUUCAAAAAUGCCGUAGAAACUUUUAAACUUGAGUAUGGUAGGGGUAGAGGGAAUUUCCAGUGGAGCGGUGAAAUGCGUAGAUCUUGGAAAGACCACCAAUGGCGAAGGCACUCUACUGGGCCAUUACUGACACUAAGAGAACGAAAGCUAGGGGAGCAAAUGGG
rnacentral:rRNA from 1 species